CAGAGUCCAUUGAGCUAUUUGAAGCAGCCGCGAUAAGAGGAGCUCAGAGACGUGUUUAUUUCAGCAAACGAAAAUAAAACGAAGCAGAACGUCUUCAGAUUUAUAGCACUGCGAAGAAAUGCGCUGGCAAGCGAGGUCCUGCAAGAGAAGAGCUGACUGUCGCGUGCAUUGGGAAUGCCCCGCGUGCGCCGUGGAAGACCGUAAAACUGCAGCAUUUACUUAUUCGUUACGUUAAGCGAAAUAUAUCGUUAUACCGCAGGCUGCUGGGUAAAUGUGUAGUUUUGCAUUUGCCCUUAUGUGCGUAUAAUGAUGCAGAAACUGCAAAUUUGUUAGACCAAAGUGUGUGAAUGAAAGCGAGAACAUUUUAUAUUAAAGUGGGACCGUCGCUUAUCACGUGCCAACAGAAAAAAACAAACGUGUUAAAGGGCAUUAUAUCAAGACGCGCUGGAAAUGACGGCACCCGUGGAGCGGACUUUGCAGGCAGCGCGCAGCGGAGACCUGCAGACCCUGAAGGCGCAGGUAGCGCAGCGGGCACUGGAUGGCAACGUGAGGGAUGCCUUCGGCGCCACGGCCGUGCACCACGCCGCUAGGACGGGGAGGCUCAGCUCUCUGCGCUACCUGGUGGAGGAGGCUGAACUGGCCGGUAACUGCGAGGCGAGAAACGGGGCGAAUCCGGCGCACGACGCCGCCGCCACCGGCCACCUGGCGUGUCUGCAGUGGCUUCUGGAGCGCGGCGGCUGCCGGGCGAAGGACAGGGACAGCUCAGGGGCUACGGUCCUACACCUUUCUUCUCGAUUCAGCCACCAUGAGGUCACAGACUGGCUGCUGCAGAGUGGCGAAGGCGACCCCAGUGUCGCCACGGACACCGGCGCUCUUCCAGUGCACUAUGCCGCUGCCAAGGGAGACCUGACAUCACUGCGGCUUCUGCUUAGCCACAGUCCAAGCCUGGUCAAUGCCCAAACAAAGAAUGGUGCCACUCCGCUUUACCUGGCCUGCCAGGGAGGCCGUCUGGAGGUGGUGCAGUACCUGGUGAAGCACUGCACUGCUGAUCCGUCCAUCCCGGCUGGCGAUGGCAUGACGCCGCUGCAUGCCGCCGCUCAGAUGGGACACUGCACCAUCAUCGCCUGGCUGAUGAGCUUCACGUCGGUCAGCCUGGCAGAGCGGGAUGCCAACGGGGCCACUGCCAUGCAUUUCGCGGCCAGCCGGGGUCACGCCAAGGUGCUGAGCUGGCUGCUCCUGCACGGGGGGGAGGCCGUCGCCGACAGCUGGGGGGGCACGCCCCUGCACGAUGCCGCCGAGAACGGCGAGCUGGAGUGCUGCCAGAUCCUGGUGGUCAAUGGGGCAGAGCUGCAGAUGCGGGACCGGGAGGGCUUCACUGCAGCCGAGCUGGCCGAAUGUGGCGGACAUACCCAGUGUGCCAAGUACCUGCGGACUGUUGAGAACUUGAGCGUGCAGCAUCGUGUGCUCUCCAGAGAUCCCUCAGCUGACCUGGAGUACAAGCAGCCUGAUUCGGGCCUGUCGUCCCCCAACGCCACGUUCCGCUCCCCAGUGCAACCAGCCCGGUUUGACAUGGGCUCUCCCUCCAGCACCUUGUCCAACUACGACUCCUGCAGCUCCAGCCAAUCUAGUACUGGGGAGAAGAGGACUGCGCCCCCUGGAGGAGCAGGUUCCAGCGGCACAGACAUCGCGGACAUGCGGACCUACAUGGACAUGCUGGACCCUGACCUGGUGUCCGGGCGCCCCGAUGCCGUGGCCCCGCCUCCCCCGCCGGAUUUCCCUCCGCCUCCGCCGCCCCUCAACAGCACAGUCAGGCGGCCCGAGGAGCCAGUGCCCCCACCGCCACCCCCUCCCAGCUACCCCGCACCAAGCCCCCCUGAGGACCAACCCCCGGCUGAGAUCUACACGAUGAUGAAGAACAAACUGCGGCAUGUAGAGGGCGGAGCCAAGGAUGAGUUAAGGACCAGUGAGAACUCGAACAGUCUACGCCGAAUCGACUCCAACCGGAAAUCCCGUAACUUCAGCAAACAGCCCAGCACUGGGGACUACUACAGGGCGCUGGGCAGCAACCAUCGUGGAACCGACGCCAUGGCCCCCAACGAGGAGGGAUCCCUACUGCUGGAGGACACGGCGAACAGCCCCCCGAGCCCUGAGAACGGCACAGCGGAGGAGCUGCCCCUACCCCCUCCGCCACCCCCCCUGCCAGAGAGCCAAAGCACCCCCCCUCCGCCACCUCCGCCGCCUCCCCCGCUGCCCUCGGAGUCGUCGCCCCAGCAGCCCAGCGAGGGCGGCCACCGGAGAAUGUCCUCCUCCUCCUCUGGAAGCGCCAAGUCCUUCAACAUGAUGUCCCCGACCGGCGACAACUCUGAGCUUCUGGCGGAAAUUAAGGCCGGGAAAAGCCUGAAGCCAACGCCCCAGAGCAAAGGAUAUACCACCGUCUUCUCCAGCGGCGGGCUUCCAGGGAGCAACGAAGAGAGCCCAGCCACGACUCCGCCUCCGGCCUCCGUCACUCCGCCCACAAAGCCCUUGUCCCCGCCCACAGAGACUCCUCCCACUACUCCCAAUUCGGCCGGCCCAUCCACCCCACGGGCACUGGCAACCUCGCUCAGCCAGGAGCGGCUACCCCCCGUCGUGAAUGGCAACACAGAGCCGACCCCGCCCACCACAAAUAAGGCCAGCGCGGUGGACGUGGACGCCAUGGUGCCCACGCAUGACGAACAGGGCCGUGUCAUUCCGGACUGGAAGAGGCAGGUGAUGGUGCGCAAGCUGCAGACGAAGAUCCAGGAAGAGGAGGAGCACAAACGCAAGGCUGAGGAGGAGGCAGCCCGCCUGGCAUCCAUGCCAGCCUGGAGGAGGGACAUCAUGAAGAAGAAGAUGGAUGAGGAGAGGUCAGUGGGGGCUGCCGCUCUUUCCCAGCAUCCCCCUGCUCCUGUGAAUUGGCUUCACUUUCUCGCUGACCUUCAUGGCUGCCUGCUGGGCACUAAUUCCUCAGUUGCAGCUUCACCUCCGUCGAUCCCUCAUUCCAUCCGCAGAUUCGUCAUCCAUGCCAUUUAUCCACACGCAAGGACAAUAUACAGGUGUAACUUUUCAUAUGCAACCAGCAGGCAGCAGUGGGCUAAGCCUCUGUGCCUGUGACCAGAAGGUUGCUGGUUCAAGCCCAGCUUUGGCACAUCUGUAGGUCCUUGAGUGAGACCCUUAACCCCAAGCUCCCUGGGCCCCACAGCGGGUGGCUGCCCGUCACGGCCAAGCCUAUUCUCAUGGAGAGCAAGACGGUGGCGGUGAAAAGAGAAUUUCAAUCAAUAAAAAGUAUCUUUUAUCAGAAGAAUGCCAGUGAAAAUGCCUUUUUCUUGCCUUUUUGACACGAGUUUCCAUCCCUGCUGUGUUAUUCACUCAAACCUGUUAUCAGGUAAAUGUGAAUAAAUUCUAAAAUCAGAAUUAUUAAAUGAUAUUUAUAAACACCGGGCAUGGCUGCACAGGUCUGACCCGGUAAUGCGAGUUACUGCUUACAACCCCCUCGGCUUUGUGCGGCUCGUCCACCGGCCUGCUAUACAAUGACUCUGUGUCCCUUAAAACUUUAAUAACCAUCAGCAGAACAACGUGUAGACGUUGUGUUUAUCAAAUACGCGGUUUAACAUUUCACCAGGGCCGGGUCACGGACGUGGCAGCACCGGUGUGGCAUGCUGGGCAUUUCUGUGGCACGUCUGCAGCUUAGCGCGGGAGGAGAAGCGCAGUGCAUGGACCCUCUGCGGGUCCCUGAGUCCCGGAUUGGGAACCACUGUCUUAUAGAUAUUUACAUUUUCUCUUUUUUCUCUUCUUUUUCUUUCCGCAUGCACACAGGGAGCAAAAAAGAAGAGAGGAAGAGAGACUGAAAAUGGAGAAGGAGAACGAGGAGAAGUCUGAGCUGGAGAAGCUUCGCACCCUGGGCUACGACGAGACCAAGCUGGCACCCUGGCAGCGGCAGAUCAUCCUCAAGAAAGGAGACAUCACAAAACAAUAGACCGGUGUUUCCCAGUCUGGUCCUCGGGGACUUGCAGACAGUUCAUGUUUUUGCUCCCUACCAGGAGCUGGGAGGGAGCAAAAAUGUGGACUGUGUGUGGGUCCUCAAGGACUGGGUUGGGAAACACUGCAAUAGACCGAGCCCCUCCCUCCUUCCCAGUCGUCCCCUACCUACAGCUCCUUCCCUUGGCUAGACUCCCCCAUCCUGCUUCAAUGAGCACAGAGAAGAUCACUCCCCAUAAUCCUGCCCUGCCCACCUCUCCCCUCCCCUAAUAAAGGACCACGAUGACCUCCCCCCAAAGUGGGCUGCACACCUCACGCCCUGCACACGAUCCUUGACGCACUAUAGGGCAGCCCCCCCUUAAAGACUUGCGUGACAGACACCAGCACUUGAAGAGGAAUCGGCACUGUUUGCACAGACCGCUGCUCUGCCUUUGUAAACUGUUGGCCACGGAUCCAGAACCCUUAGUCCCUGUAGCUUUUAGCUGCCCUGCUACUGUAAUCUUAUUAAAUGUUUCAACUUGCCA